rnacentral:rRNA from 1 species
AAGAUUAAGCCAUGCAUGUCUAAGUAUAAGCAAACUAUACUGUGAAACUGCGAAUGGCUCAUUAAAUCAGUUAUCGUUUAUUUGAUAGUACCUUACUACUUGGAUAACCGUGGUAAUUCUAGAGCUAAUACAUGCUAAAAACCUCGACUUCGGAAGGGGUGUAUUUAUUAGAUAAAAGACCAAUGCCCUUCGGGGCUCCUUGGUGAUUCAUAAUAACUUAACGAAUCGCAUGGCCUUGCGCCGGCGAUGGUUCAUUCAAAUUUCUGCCCUAUCAACUUUCGAUGGUAGGGUAGUGGCCUACCAUGGUUGCAACGGGUAACGGACGAUUAGGGUUGGACUCCGGAGAGGGAGCCUGAGAAACGGCUACCACAUCCAAGGAAGGCAGCAGGCGCGCAAAUUACCCAAUCCCGACGCGGGGAGGUAGUGACAAUAAAUACUGAUACAGGGCUCUUUUGGGUCUUGUAAUUGGAAUGAGUACAAUUUAAAUCUCUUAACGAGGAACAAUUGGAGGGCAAGUCUGGUGCCAGCAGCCGCGGUAAUUCCAGCUCCAAUAGCGUAUAUUAAAGUUGUUGCAGUUAAAAAGCUCGUAGUUGAACCUUGGGUCUGGCUGGCCGGUCCGCCUCACCGCGUGCACUGGUCCGGCCGGACCUUUCCUUCUGGGGAGCCUCAUGCCCUUCACUGGGUGUGCUGGUCAACCAGGACUUUUACUGUGAAAAAAUUAGAGUGUUCAAAGCAGGCCUAUGCUCGAAUACAUUAGCAUGGAAUAAUAGAAUAGGACGUGUGGUUCUAUUUUGUUGGUUAUAGGACCGCCGUAAUGAUUAAUAGGGAUAGUCGGGGGCAUCAGUAUUCAAUUGUCAGAGGUGAAAUUCUUGGAUUUAUUGAAGACUAACUACUGCGAAAGCAUUUGCCAAGGAUGUUUUCAUUAAUCAGGAACGAAAGUUAGGGGAUCGAAGACGAUCAGAUACCGUCGUAGUCUUAACCAUAAACUAUGCCGACUAGGGAUCGGGCGAUGUUAUUAUUUGACUCGCUCGGCACCUUACGAGAAAUCAAAGUUUUUGGGUUCUGGGGGGAGUAUGGUCGCAAGGCUGAAACUUAAAGAAAUUGACGGAAGGGCACCACCAGGUGUGGAGCCUGCGGCUUAAUUUGACUCAACACGGGGAAACUCACCAGGUCCAGACACAAUAAGGAUUGACAGAUUGAGAGCUCUUUCUUGAUUUUGUGGGUGGUGGUGCAUGGCCGUUCUUAGUUGGUGGAGUGAUUUGUCUGCUUAAUUGCGAUAACGAACGAGACCUUAACCUGCUAAAUAGCCAGGCUAGCUUUGGCUGGUCGCAGGCUUCUUAGAGG